rnacentral:rRNA from 1 species
AGUGAACGCUGGCGGCAGGCCUAACACAUGCAAGUCGAACGGCAGCACAGGAGAGCUUGCUCUCUGGGUGGCGAGUGGCGGACGGGUGAGGAAUACAUCGGAAUCUACCUUUUCGUGGGGGAUAACGUAGGGAAACUUACGCUAAUACCGCAUACGACCUACGGGCGAAAGUGGGGGACCGCAAGGCCUCACGCGAUUAGAUGAGCCGAUGUCCGAUUAGCUAGUUGGCGGGGUAAUGGCCCACCAAGGCGACGAUCGGUAGCUGGUCUGAGAGGAUGAUCAGCCACACUGGAACUGAGACACGGUCCAG